GAUUGGCCCGCGUUGGAUUAGCUAGUUGUUGGGGUAAAGGCCUACCAAGGCGACGAUCCAUAGCUGGUCUGAGAGGAUGAUCAGCCACAUUGGGACUGAGACACGGCCCAAACUCCUACGGGAGGCAGCAGUGGGGAAUAUUGGACAAUGGGCGCAAGCCUGAUCCAGCCAUGCCGCGUGAGUGAUGAAGGCCUUAGGGUUGUAAAGCUCUUUCACCGGAGAAGAUAAUGACGGUAUCCGGAGAAGAAGCCCCGGCUAACUUCGUGCCAGCAGCCGCGGUAAUACGAAGGGGGCUAGCGUUGUUCGGAAUUACUGGGCGUAAAGCGCACGUAGGCGGAUAUUUAAGUCAGGGGUGAAAUCCCAGAGCUCAACUCUGGAACUGCCUUUGAUACUGGGUAUCUUGAGUAUGGAAGAGGUAAGUGGAAUUCCGAGUGUAGAGGUGAAAUUCGUAGAUAUUCGGAGGAACACCCAGUGGCGAAGGCGGCUUACUGGUCCAUUACUGACGCUGAGGUGCGAAAGCGUGGGGAGCAAACAGGAUUUAGAUACCCUGGUAGUCCACGCCGUAAACGAUGAAAUGUUAGCCGU
rnacentral:rRNA from 1 species